rnacentral:rRNA from 1 species
CCUACGGGUGGCAGCAGUGAGGAAUAUUGGUCAAUGGGCGAGUGCCUGAACCAGCCAAGUCGCGUGAGGGAGUACUGCCCUAUGGGUUGUAAACCUCUUUUGUCGGGGAGCAAAAGCCGGACGUGUCCGGCUGUGAGAGUACCCGAAGAAAAAGCAUCGGCUAACUCCGUGCCAGCAGCCGCGGUAAUACGGAGGAUGCGAGCGUUAUCCGGAUUUAUUGGGUUUAAAGGGUGCGCAGGCGGAUUUUUAAGUCAGCGGUAAAAUCGUGGGGCUCAACCCCAUCCAGCCGUUGAAACUGGGGAUCUAGAGUGUGCGAGAGGUAUGCGGAAUGCGUGGUGUAGCGGUGAAAUGCAUAGAUAUCACGCAGAACCCCGAUUGCGAAGGCAGCAUACCGGUGCACAACUGACGCUCAGGCACGAAAGCGUGGGUAUCGAACAGGAUUAGAUACCCUUGUAGUC